rnacentral:misc_RNA from 1 species
UCAAAAGUGAAUGAGAGUCUGCGGUGUGCAGUGCGUGUGUGCUAGUUAGGACGGGAGUUGCUGGGAUUCUUGUUCGAAUUUCGCCUCUCUAAAAAAAGUUUAAAAUAUAUUGUGCUACCACCCUGACUUCUACAAUGAGUGAUUCCUCGCCUAACACCCAGAACAUAGCAGAUUAUUUGGCACAAUUAAUUAAAGACAGAAAACAAAUAACUGCUUUCCCAAGCGUCUUUUUGCACGUUGAAAGGCUUCUGGAUGAAGAAAUCGCCAAGAUUCGUGGCAGCCUGUUCCAAAUAUCGGGAAAUGCCAAGCCUGAGGCAUUACCUGAACCACAGGGAACUGUGGUCAAUCUCACAGAGAAGGUCUACGUUCCAGUACGGGAACACCCAGAUUUCAACUUUGUCGGCCGGAUUCUGGGCCCCCGCGGCAUGACGGCCAAACAACUGGAACAGGAAACCGGCUGUAAAAUCAUGGUCCGCGGACGGGGCUCCAUGAGGGAUAAGAAAAAGGAAGAGAUGAACAGGGGUAAACAGAACUGGGAACACCUCAGUGACGACUUGCACGUACUCAUUACCUGUGAGGACUCUGAGAACCGCGCCAAGGCCAAGAUUCAGCGGGCCGUCGAAGAGAUCAAGAAACUCUUAGUGCCAUCGGCGGACGGUGAAGACGAGCUGAAGAAGCGGCAGCUGAUGGAACUGGCCAUCAUCAACGGCACCUACCGGGACUCGAGCAGUGAGGCGGCCGGUCCGCGGCUGCAGCAGCUCGGUCAGAUGGCCGGCCUGGGCGGCCUGAUGACCACCAUGUGCCGCACGCCGGCCUCGCUGGGCGCGCCGCUGAUGCUCUCGCCGCGGAUGGCCGCCGGCACGGCGCUCAUCAACUCGGCUCCGCCUCCGCUCAUCUCAGCCGGCGACGCGGCGCUCAUGUACGCCCAGUACGCGCCCGACUACGCUGCGCAGUACGCGGCGGCGGCGCAGGCGCAGCUGACCGCGCCGCCGCCGCCGCUGCAGCUCUCCGACUAUGCGGCGGACAUCACUGGUGGGUACUUUGCGCGGUGAGGCCCGCCGCAGCCCGGCCGGGCACUGAGGCGCGCACCGAGUCCGUCCCGGGUGCUUCUCCGUGGUUUGUUUUACCGAACGCCGGGUAUUUUUCGCAAUGGCAGGCCAGUUGUGAGCUGUAUUCAGGUCUUUUUAGUUGGUUUCUACUUUUAUAUGUGCCGAAUUGGUUUCGCAAGGGCUGAGUUGGUGUCUGCUUAUCUGAUGUCCACUUUGGUUUAUCAUUUUCGGUGUUGUUGAGGUUCGAUUUCAAUGAUGCUGUUGUGGAUAAUUCAGACGUAACUUGGCUAGCCCGGAGAAAGUUACAGUGAUGAACCAGCGUCUAGUCAGGUAAUUGGUGAUUGUGCAUUGUCUUUGGGCUGUAUGUUGUCAGUGCAAUGCUUUUCGUGUUCUGGUUUUGUGUAAACUGGUAUGUGGCAGUGAUCCCCACACAACUUGUCCUCCCCGUAUCCUUUUUCGUUUGCUUAAUCUUGACCCCGCUUCAGUCAAUUCGGUGACACUAUAGCUCUGUUCUUUGGCAUAGUUCGCUUGCUCUAUCCCUUACAUUUCAUUGGCAUUGGAAUGUUUCGUGAAGUUGAAGGAGCAGCGCUGGGCCUUCCCGCGUUAGCAGAUAAUGAUUAUGGAGUUUCAUUGGCCUUGGAUCCAUCCGGAUUUACGAAGGUAACUGGUCCUAGCAUCCUAAGGCGGCUUUUUACAUUUCAUAUUUGACAAUGUGUUUGAUAUCAGCUGCCCUUCGGUUUAAUAUGAACUACUAUAGGAUAUUCUAACAAUUUAACAAAGUAGCUGUACUACUUGUCAUAAAUUUGGUACCCUGGCUACUAAACAUUAAUCGGUCGAUAAUGUCCAUGGGCAUGGAACAUUCCUUUUACUGGAGACAAAUUGUUAACAACAUGAGCUAUCGCAAUUGUUACCAGUGGAACUCAGCGAGUAUCAUCCGUCAAAUAUCAUCGCUUCAACGUAGUGGAAAUUAACUUUGAGAUCUUUUAACCGAAAUUCGUCUAGCUCAAAUAAUGUUAUGUCGGUCAGCUAUGUUCUACGCACGAAGCGUAGUUUCAUUGUUGAAAGCAAGCUUUGUAAGAGGCCUGA